rnacentral:misc_RNA from 1 species
ACUGUUUUCCAAGUAGUACUUUCAUAGAAACUGUUUUGAUAUGAUGAUUCAGUCUCUUCCUGUGAUUCAGUCUUUGCCUGUCUCUCCAAAACUUGUUAUGGUGGGAACAAUUCCCCAUCACUUCCCCUUCUAAAGUCAUAUGCUGGCGACCACGAACCCUGACCUUAACUACCUGGAACCAGCUUCUUCUGCUGCUAGAGUGCUAGUUUCCUAAACAAGUAUACAGAUUCUAACCAAACCUAAUUUACAACUGCGCCAGUUCCCCUGGGUUCUCUAUAGACUGUUUCAGAAUUUUUUCAGCUCUCUUUUUCUUAUCAUCCUUCUCACCAUCCUUUCCAUGCCAUGGGCCGAUCUUCUCAACACCCUUAUUCUGUAAGCUCAAUUCUUGUGCUGUACCCACGGACUUCUUGCCAAUCCCAAUCUUAAAUUGUACAGCAGGUCUUUGAUUCAAGAGAACCCGCUUCUGACCCUCUUCGGAAUCACAUAACCUGGACUUCCUUGCUUCAAUAGCUGGAGCAAACGUGUCCAGAACUGACACGUGAUUACCCAGAAGAGAAUUUUGAUUAAUAGGAUUUCUCACAGCAGCUUCAUUUGAAAGCUUAGCCUGAGGAACAACACGGGACACUUCCUUCUCU